GGAGAGAUGUCCGAGCGGCCGAAGGAGCACGACUGGAAAUCGUGUAUACAUCCAAAAGGUGUAUCGAGGGUUCAAAUCCCUCUCUCUCCGCCA
rnacentral:tRNA from 1 species